rnacentral:lncRNA from 1 species
GUGAGUUUACGCUGGCUAAUGUUAGCUAGUCAGCUAGCUUGCUAAAUCGCGAUUUUCGUAAAUUAACUUUAUGAUAAAAAAAUAUGCAUAAUCGUUUGUCUCUACAUUAACUAACAUAUUCCUGUCAACUGUACAUUUUUUGCAUGAUUCGGAAGACACAUUUCAGUUGAAGACAUUCAGUUGUACAACUGACUAGAGGACCUGAGCCCUGGGACCAUGCCUCAGGACUACCUGACCUGAUGACUCCUUGCUGUCCCCAGUCCACCUGGUCAUGCUGCUGCUCCAGUUCCAACUGUUCUGCCUGUGGCUAUGGAACCCUGACCUGUUCACCGUACGUGCUACCUUGUCCCGGACCUGCUGUUUUCGACUCUCUCUCUACCGCACCUGCUGUUUCUAACUCUGAAUGAUCGGCUAUGUAAAGCCAACUGACAUUUUCUCCUGAGGUGCUGACCUGUUGCACCCUCUACAACCACUGUGAUUAUUAUUAUUAUUAUUAUUAUUAUUCAUCUAUGAACGUUUGAAUAUCUUGGCCAUGUACUGUUAUAAUCUCAACCCGGCACAGCCAGAAGAGGACAUCUGCAUUGCCUGCUCUUUGGGGUUUUAGGCUGGGUUUAUGUAUAGCACUUUGUGACAUCGGCUGAUGUAAAAAGGGCUUUAUAAAUGCAUUUGAUUGAUUGAUGUAGCUGCUCAGUGUAAAGGAAAGAAAAGAUGUGCCAAGUGUGGUGGAGCACAUGAUUACGGUGAAUGUGGAAGCAAUGUGAAGGUCAAGUGCUGUAAUUGUGGGGGAGAACACAGUGCAGCAUUUGGUGGAUGCCAGGUACAGAGAGAGGCUAGAGCCGCUCAGAUAUAGGAUCAGUCAUGAUGAAUCGUAUGCAGAGGCCAUAAAACAGAUAGGUAGAACUACAGUGCAGACUGAUGGAUGUACCUGUAGUAAGUGGACCUAUUGUCGGGGCUGGUGCUUCUGAUAGUCCGGGCAUGGUUUUGAGGCCUGUUCGGAAAUCUUGUGCCCAUGAAUGUGCAGGGUCAAAGGACACUUUGAUAAUGAAUAAAGUUGACUCAAUAGAUUUUAUUGGUAAGGUUAUCAAUACGACUUGGGUUGUGGAAAGCCAAAAAUGCCAGGUUGAAGGUUAUUCUGGAGAUGGUAAAAGAGAUAUUCGGGGCAACAGAUGUUACUGUUGAGUGUUUCAGCAUGAUAUAGAUCAAGUUUAAUGGGGGUGGUAGAAGUUUAGGGAUUUAUUUGGUUUGGAAUUAUAUUUUCAUGGUAGUACAGGAUUGGGCAGAUCAUGAUUGAUCGUGCGUUCCAGCACCGUCGGUGGCGGCAUGCACUUAAACGAUUGUUUGCGGACCGCCAUGAUAUCAUACUUUUGUUUACUUUCAAAUUCUUCUAUGAAUAGUUUUCUUGGAUAACGUAAGCAUAGUUUAUUGCAAAAGUAUAUUAUUUUGGGUAGGUUGCAACUGAUGUGAAAAUAUUGAAAAUCUUCUAAUUAGCAUUAGCUCCACCGUCAUCUGUCAUAUGCAUGC